GACGAACGCUGGCGGCGUGCUUAAUACAUGCAAGUCGAACGGACAGGUCCUGCUUUUGUGGGGUGCACGAGUGGCGAACGGGUGAGUAACACGCGAGUAAACUGUCCCUGUCUUUGGGAUAUCUCCACGAAACUGGGGAUCUUACAGGAUAGGAGCUCCUGCUGCGUGGUGGGGGUUGGUAAGUUUCGGCGGUUGGGGAUGGACUCGCGGCUUAUCAGCUUGUUGGUGGGGUAGUGGCUUACCAAGGUUUUGACGGGUAGCCGGCCUGAGAGGGUGACCGGCCACAUGGGGACUGAGAUACGGCCCAGACGCCAACGGGAGGCAGCAGUGGGGAAUAUUGCACAAUAGGCGGAAGCCAGAGGCAGCAGCGCCGCGAGCGGGAUAACGGCCUUCGGGUUAUAAACCGCUUUCGCCGGUGACGAAGCGGGAGUGACGGUAAUGGGUAAAGAAGCACCGGCUAACUACGUG
rnacentral:rRNA from 1 species